rnacentral:ribozyme from 14 species
AUAAUGGACAAAAACACACUGAUCACCUUUUCAGGUCUCUCUAUUUCUUCUUUUUGCUUUCUUCUUCUUCUAUGUCAUCUCCAUCUUCUUCUUUGGGUGGUUGCGAUACUGACAAAAAC